CAUACAAUAAUACAGUCGCCAUGACUGACAAAUGUUUUAGUGUAUGUUUGGAGUUGACUUCCACUUUGAUGUGGAACGCAGACAAAAAAAAGGGGGUGAGUCGGAGUCCAGUGAACAUAGAGUGCUUUGAGAUCAAAUACCUACAACGGUAUCCAUGCAUAGUAGUGACGUCUCUUAGCAUUCCGGAAGGCCAGGAACAUUCCUGAAUGAAACUGUUUGCUUAUGGAAAAAAGGAAAACAAAAAGAACAUUUCUUAAGUUAUCAUGCAAAAACAACAAGGUCAUUUUCCUCCUUUGUGGUUUUUGUUGUUUUUUUUUUUUAAAUAAGGUGGCUAGUUUUGUCGUCAUAAGUACCAGGCUCAUGCACGGACUGACACCAGAGGGCGAUGUCCACACUUUUUUUUCUUUUUCUUUUUUUUUUUCUUUUAAAUUUUUUUUCUGAGGUUCAAUUGCAGGUAUGAAUGUGAGUGUGACUGCCCUGCGAUUGACUCGAGACCAGUCCAGGGUGCACCCCACAUACUGUCCGAAGUCACCUGGGAUAGGCUCCAGCAUGCCCCCCCCCGCGACCCACAAAUUGACAUCUUCCUCCGUGCGUCCAUGUGAGAACGGCGUCUUGCCAAGUAGCCAUCUUGAAGUCCUGCAGGAAGUGGAUGCAAUGAAGAACCUUGUGAUGGUGUGGUUCAAAGGUCAUAACAAGACGGCUUGAGUUUUUGUGCGGCAGUUUUUGUCACCGGGUCUUCAAGCCACGAUCCUCAGCCAAUCGCAGCACGUCUUUGCUUUCAAGAUGGCGGCGAGGACGGCGGCAAAGGCGUCCGGCGAGCUUGGAGUGGUGCGUUGGAUUAAGGCCCAGGCUGAGGUUACAACGAGGAGAUCUUGAUGGUGUCGGAGGUGUAGGCGGUGGCACGCGUCGUACGCAGGAUGCCAGUCGGGAUGACAGCAGGCGAAGGAGGGAGGCUGUCGUCGGGUGUGUUGGCGGGUGGCGUUGGGAUGCUGAUGAUGGCAGCGCUGAAGUCCUGCUCGCCGCAGUUCAGUUUGAGGUCCACUUGUGCGUUGAGACUUGAACGUCUAAGACAAAAAAAAAACACACACACACGUCAGCGGCAAAACACGGCGCUAAAUGUUAUUAAAGUUUACGUUUGUUUACGUCUGAGGUGGAAGAUGCGUGCUCUUGGUGUGCAACGUGUCCAGCUCCUGAACGCUCCCCCGACUCACGGACACAGUAGAGUUAGCCAGACGCAUGGCCGCCCGCCUUCGAACGCGGCGAGGGCAGCAGCCUGUUGAGUGGUUUGGCGCCCCCUGCUGGCUGGACAGGGAGGUGCUGCGGCUGGUUCGGAAGCCAACUGACUCGGUGAUGCACAACUCGCUGUAGUUCAGCUCGUCUGUGAACUCGUGGUUCUGUGAAGGAGAUGGGGGGGGGGCAGUUGACUUCCUAGGUUUCUAUUUUAGUCUCUAACAGGAAAGACACUAAAUCAAGGAUGUCCGAGGUGUGUUUUUAUCCCACAGUUCCUCUCCAUCCUUUAUCCUAUCUCUCAAUGUCACGUGUCCCUCAACACUGUUCCUUAUUUCUAAAAUCACAAAUACAAAUCACAAAAUGCUGAUAUUCGUAUUUUGGUACGGGACAAAAAAUUAAAAUUAAAAUUAAAAUUAAAAUUAAAAUUAAAAUUAAAAUUAAAAUUAAAAUUAAAAUUAAAAUUAAAAUUAAAAUUAAAAUUAAAAUUAAAAUUAAAUAAAUUUAAAAGAACUUAAACUAUAUUCGGAAAGCAGGAAGUGAACAAA